GGAAUCUUCCACAAUGGACGGAAAGUCUGAUGGAGCAACGCCGCGUGAGUGAAGAAGGGUUUCGGCUCGUAAAACUCUGUUGUUAAAGAAGAACAUAUCUGAGAGUAACUGUUCAGGUAUUGACGGUAUUUAACCAGAAAGCCACGGCUAACUACGUGCCAC
rnacentral:rRNA from 1 species